AUUGAACGCUGGCGGCAGGCCUAACACAUGCAAGUCGAGCGGAGCGGAGGACGGGUGAGUGAUGACUGGAAAUGUGCCUGGUAGUGGGGGAUAAAGUCCGGAUACGGGCGCUAAUAACGCAUACUCUCAGACGCAUCUAGGUCGGUUUAGCUAGUUGGUGGGGUAAAUGCUUACCAAGGUGACGAUCCGUAACUGGUCUGAGAGGAUGAUCAGUCACACAGGAACGGAGACACGGACCAGACUCCUACGGGAGGCAGCAGUGGGGAAUAUUGGACAAUGGGCGAAAGCCUGAUCCAGCCAUGCCGCGUGUGUGAAGAAGGUCUUAGGAUUGUAAAGUACUUUAAGUUGGGAGGCGUUACCAACAGAAGAAGCACCGGCUAACUCCGUGCCAGCCGCCGCGGUAAUUC
rnacentral:rRNA from 1 species